AUGCGGCAGGGCCGGGCCGCAGGGCUGGCGGCGCUGGCCGCGGUGCUCCUGGUGGCUGCAGGCAGAGCCCAGGUGCAGCAGGAGCCGUGGGCACAGACCAGGGAGGGCUCCGGCAUCGACAUCGCCUGCUCACACCCCAACAUCCAGUCAAACGACUACAUCUACUGGUACCGUCAGUUCCCGGGCCAAGGACCCGCAUUCCUCGUGAGGGCUUAUAGUGGGUCCGAGGAUGUGACGGACCCGGCAGGGCGGCUCUCGGUGGCAGCAGACCGCCGGUCCAGCGCCCUGUGGCUCACCGAUCCCCGUCUUCGGGACGCGGCGGUGUAUUACUGCGCCCUGAGAGCCACGGGGAGAGGAGCCGGGGCUGCGGCCGUGCAGGAACCGUGGCGGGCGGGGCCGGGCGUGUGUGGCGGGGGCGAGGCAGGGGCACAGCCCCCAGGGGGCGCUGCCGCUCCGCCCGCCAGGACCACCUCGUCCCGCAGCCGCGGGGGUUCCCCCGCCAGUCCAGACCCGUCCCCACUGAGGCCCUUCGGUUCUUCUGGGUCCGAGGAUGGGGGUCAGGUGUGGGUCUGACCCAUCUGGGUGUGAGGGGUCAGGACGUAACACCC